rnacentral:rRNA from 1 species
GAUGAACGCUAGCGGGAGGCCUAACACAUGCAAGCCGAGCGGUAUUUGUUCUUCGGAACAGAGAGAGCGGCGCACGGGUGCGGAACACGUGUGCAACCUGCCUUUAUCUGGGGGAUAGCCUUUCGAAAGGAAGAUUAAUACCCCAUAAUAUAUUGAGUGGCAUCAUUUGGUAUUGAAAACUCCGGUGGAUAGAGAUGGGCACGCGCAAGAUUAGAUAGUUGGUGAGGUAACGGCUCACCAAGUCAAUGAUCUUUAGGGGGCCUGAGAGGGUGAUCCCCCACACUGGUACUGAGACACGGACCAGACUCCUACGGGAGGCAGCAGUGAGGAAUAUUGGACAAUGGGUUAGCGCCUGAUCCAGCCAUCCCGCGUGAAGGACGACGGCCCUAUGGGUUGUAAACUUCUUUUGUAUAGGGAUAAACCUACUCUCGUGAGAGUAGCUGAAGGUACUAUACGAAUAAGCACCGGCUAACUCCGUG